rnacentral:rRNA from 1 species
GAUGAACGCUGGCGGCGUGCCUAAUACAUGCAAGUCGAGCGAACAGACGAGGAGCUUGCUCCUCUGACGUUAGCGGCGGACGGGUGAGUAACACGUGGAUAACCUACCUAUAAGACUGGGAUAACUUCGGGAAACCGGAGCUAAUACCGGAUAAUAUAUUGAACCGCAUGGUUCAAUAGUGAAAGACGGUUUUGCUGUCACUUAUAGAUGGAUCCGCGCCGCAUUAGCUAGUUGGUAAGGUAACGGCUUACCAAGGCGACGAUGCGUAGCCGACCUGAGAGGGUGAUCGGCCACACUGGAACGGGGACACGUCCCAGCUCCCUACGGGAGGCAGCGGUGGGAAUCCUCCGGAAAUGGGGGAAGGCUGAAGGGGGAAACGCCGCGGGGGUAAUAAAGGCCUUCGGUUCGAAAAACCCUUUAAUAGGGGAAAAACAAAGUUGUAGGUAACUAUGCACGUCUUAACGUUACCUAAUCAAAAAGCCAGGGCUAACUACGG